GGCUCAGGAUGAACGCUGGCGGCGUGCCUAAUACAUGCAAGUCGAGCGAACGGACGAGAAGCUUGCUUCUCUGAUGUUAGCGGCGGACGGGUGAGUAACACGUGGAUAACCUACCUAUAAGACUGGGAUAACUUCGGGAAACCGGAGCUAAUACCGGAUAAUAUUUUGAACCGCAUGGUUCAAAAGUGAAAGACGGUCUUGCUGUCACUUAUAGAUGGAUCCGCGCUGCAUUAGCUAGUUGGUAAGGUAACGGCUUACCAAGGCAACGAUGCAUAGCCGACCUGAGAGGGUGAUCGGCCACACUGGAACUGAGACACGGUCCAGACUCCUACGGGAGGCAGCAGUAGGGAAUCUUCCGCAAUGGGCGAAAGCCUGACGGAGCAACGCCGCGUGAGUGAUGAAGGUC
rnacentral:rRNA from 1 species